GUGAAUCAUCGAAUUUUUGAACGCAAAUUGCACUCUCUUCGGAGAGUAUGCCUGUUUGAGGGUCAGUAUUAAUAAAAAUCGGUGUGUUGCUUCUUUGUGACGCUCCGGGGUUUGGGUCAUCUUAAUAUCUUUUAGGUUUUAAGAGGCUUAAAAUUGACUUUUUUUGCUUUUUUUCGAUGUUAUUAAAUUCUUUUUUUUUAUCUUUUGUCUUACUGCUCAUAAUCCUAUUAGUUGCGACCAUUUCG
rnacentral:misc_RNA from 1 species